AACCGAGGAGAGAAGAAGAAGACUUGCUGGUGGAAACGAUGGCGAAGACAGUGUGUAGGAGAUUUCAGAUAUAAUCUUGCAGUGAUUAUUAUUUGAUAAUAGAUUCCUUUUCUUUAACCUUUUAUUGUUGUUGUGUGCGGAAAGAGCUGUGUCUCUCUCUCAAUCUCACUCUGACGAGAGAGAGAGUGUGAGGAGUGAGUGUGUGUUUCGACACGGCGGGAAACAGAAUAAUUUGGGCAAUAACCCUCUCCCUCCAAAUCAAACACACACAACACACCACUUUCUAAUUCUCUCUCUUUUCUCAUUCUAUCGCCAAAACCCUAGCCAAGCUCCUUCUUUCCAUUUCCAUAUCCUUCCACAUGGCAGCGGCGUUCCAGGAAGGAGGAGGUGCCGACGACGAUGCCACCAUCGACGUCCACACAACGCGUGGCACGCCCAUCCGCUACCUUCCCCUCGACCACCUCUACUCUGCCACGUCGCCCUGCCGCGUCACGGCCAGCGGCUCCUCCAACGUCAUGUCCAAGAAGGUCAAGGCUCGAAAACUCACUACUCUCGCCGCGCAUCAUCAUUUCACAAACCACGACCACAAGAAAACCAUGUCGUCCUCAUCCUCCUCCUCCCACCCUCCUUCUUCCAAGCCUCCCUUGCUCUUCGUCUACUCGCGCCGCCGCAAGAGGCAUUCCCCUUCCACGGCGCUGUGCAAAACCGAGGGCAAGGUGAAUGCGGACGAGAAUGAGGAUGAGACAAGGUUGUUGAAGAAGAGGAAAAUUGGGAGCACUGAGUUGGAGAGGUUGGGUGUGGAUUUGAACACUGCGAUUGGGGAUGCUGACGGACCUCGAUUGAGGGAAUGCCGAAACCAAUUUGGGAAUUCUGGUGCUGCUGGGAAUGUUAAGUGUGGUUCCUUGGAGAAUUUGCCGAAAAUUUCGCCCGAUUCUCGCCCUGUGAAAAAAUGGGUCGGGUUGAGUUUUGAUAAUGCUGAUCCCGAGGUGUUUGUUGGAUUAAGAUGCAAGGUUUUUUGGCCCAUGGAUUUGAAAGCGUACACUGGCUAUGUCAGAGGUUAUGACAAGGAAACUAAGAUACAUCAUGUCAAGUAUGAUGAUGGAGACGAGGAAAAUUUGAUUCUUUCAAAUGAAAAUAUUAGAUUCCAUGUUUCCCGUGAUGAGGUGAAACAUUUAAAAUUGAAUCUUGCCAAAGUUCGUGACAACAAUGUCUCUGAUUAUGAUGUUGAAGAGAUGCUUGCAAUGGCUGCAAGUUUGGAUGAUUGUCAAGACUUUGAGCCUGGGGAUAUCAUAUGGGCUAAGCUAACAGGCCAUGCAAUGUGGCCAGCUGUUGUUUUGGAGGAAUCACUUGCUAGCAACUGUAAAGGUUUAAAGACGAGUUUGGGAGGAAGAUCAGUUCCUGUCCAAUUUUUUGGCACCCAUGACUUUGCAAGGGUUAGACUGCAACAGGUGAAAUCAUUUCUCAGUGGACUUCUUACCGAUCUACACUCAAAAUGCAAGAAACAUAGUUUUAUUGAAGGUUUAGAAGAGGCAAAAAGAUAUUUAAGUGAACAGAAGCUUCCUUUGGAAAUGCUAGAGUUGCAGAAAAGAUGUGCAGCAGAUAAUUGUAACAAUGUAAGUAGAGAGGAAGGAGGAUGUACAGAUUCAGGCGAUGAUUGUUUACAAGGCGAGAGGACUUUAUUGGCUAAGGAAACUGUUGAAAAUUUUCCUUACGAAUUAGGAGACCUCCAAAUUCUAAGCCUUGGAAAAAUAGUUGAAGAUUCUGCAUUCAGAGAUGGAAGGUUUAUCUGGCCUGAAGGGUACACAGCAGUGAGGAAGUUUGCUUCAGUUACUGGCCCAGAAGUUUUUGCUUCUUAUAAGAUGGAGGUGUUGAGAGAUCCAGAGUCCAAAGUUCGUCCUCUAUUUAGAGUGACAGUUGAUGGCGGCGAGCAGUUCAACGGUAAUACUCCAUCUGUUUGUUGGAACGAGAUAUUCAAAAAGAUAAAAGAAAUGGAAAAGAAUGCUUCUGAAGGCAGUCUUGCUGAAGGUGGGGUAGAAAGGGGCUACGCAUCUGGGUCUGAUAUGUUUGGUUUCUCCAAUCCUAAGGUGCUUAAACUUAUACAGGGAUUGUCUAAAUCCAAAAUCUCUUCAAGGAAUUCAUCUGGCAAGUUAGGUUCCCAAAGACAUAAUAACUUGCCUCUUGGUUAUAGACAAGUUCAUAUUAACUGGUUUGACCUCGAUAAGUGCAACGUGUGCCACAUGGAUGAGGAGUAUGAGAACAACCUGUUUCUGCAGUGUGACAAAUGCAGAAUGAUGGUCCAUGCUAGAUGUUAUGGAGAACUAGAACCUGUUAAUGGGGUGCUAUGGUUAUGCAACUUAUGUCGUUCAGGAGCUCCGCCUCCACCUUGCUGCUUAUGUCCACUCAUAGGUGGUGCAAUGAAGCCUACUACAGAUGGCCGGUGGGCUCAUUUGGCUUGUGCCAUGUGGAUACCUGAAACUUGUUUAGCUGAUGUCAAGAGAAUGGAGCCUAUUGAUGGUUUGAGUAGAAUCAGUAAGGACCGCUGGAAGUUGCUAUGCAGCAUAUGUGGUGUAUCUUAUGGUGCCUGCAUCCAAUGUUCAAAUAGUUCUUGUCGAGUAGCAUAUCACCCACUCUGUGCACGUGCUGCUGGUCUCUGUGUUGAGCUUGAAAAUGAGGAUAGGCUCUAUCUGCUUUCUGUUGACGAUGAUGAAGAUCAGUGCAUACGCUUACUCUCUUUCUGCAAGAAACAUAGGCAACCGUCCAAUGAACAUUCUGUUGCUGAUGAUCGUAUAGUUCGAGUAUCUGGUCUAUGUUCAGACUAUGAACCACCGCCCAAUCCAUCUGGUUGUGCUCGAAGUGAACCAUAUGAUUACUUUGGCAGGAGAGGUCGAAAGGAACCUGAAGCACUUGCAGCUGCAUCAUUGAAACGGUUGUUCGUGGAGAAUCAGCCUUACUUAGUAGGUGGAUACUGCCAGCAUGGAUCAUUAAAUGACCCAGAGCCUUCUGGCAGAGGAGUCUGCUCCAAAUUUUUUUGUAGCCAACAAAGGCUAAGAACAUCUCUGAUGGACACAUCUAACAACAUACUUUCUAUCUCUGAAAAAUAUGAGUACAUGAGGGAAACCUUUCGGAAGCGGCUUGCAUUUGGGAAAUCAAGAAUUCAUGGAUUUGGCAUCUUUGCAAAGCAUCCACAUAAAGGUGGAGACAUGGUGAUUGAAUACACUGGUGAACUUGUUAGACCACCAAUAGCUGACCGGAGAGAACACUUUAUAUACAAUUCAUUGGUCGGUGCUGGAACAUAUAUGUUUCGGAUUGACGAUGAACGAGUCAUUGAUGCUACUAGAGCAGGAAGCAUUGCUCAUUUAAUAAACCAUUCUUGUGCACCAAAUUGCUAUUCAAGAGUAAUAAGUGUUAAUGGCGACGAGCAUAUUAUAAUAUUUGCAAAGAGGGACAUAAAACAGUGGGAAGAGCUUACAUAUGAUUAUAGAUUUUUCUCAAUUGAUGAACGGCUUGCUUGUUAUUGUGGCUUCCCAAAGUGCCGAGGUAUAGUAAACGAUACGGAAGCAGAAGAGCGAGCUGCUACCCUUUAUGCACCACGAAGGGAAUUGAUAGAUUGGAGAGGAGAAUGAGAGGUUUCUCUGAAUUAGAACAUUUCAUUUUUGUUUCAACCUCACAUUUCAUUGAAUCUGAUUUUUAACUCUUAUAUUAUGUAAGUUCCUUCUGAAGAUGAAUUGUUUGUCCAACCUCUGUCAUGGAUUCUACCAUUUCCUUGAAAGGACAGUGUUGUACAUAGCACAUCUGAUUUUUCCCAUUGUUUCAUCAUAACCCCGACUGAGCCCACUGAGGGGAGGUUUCCAUUGGAGUUCUGGUUAUAAUGAUUGGAAAGAUGUACCAGACUUUUUACAAAUGUUUCAUUUGAAAUUCAUUGCCACAAUUACGGCUGUUUAACUUCAACCAACUUGCUGAGAUAUUGUAACUUGUCAUUGGAUAGGUACAGUUGUAAUUACAUCAAACCUUCAUAAAAAUGAAAAGAAAUUGAGAUUUCAAAUGGAA